GUGAAUAAAUGAAGACUCGGCACACCACUUCUGAAAGGUUGCCAACCCCUGUACUAACCAAUGUAGGUUCCAGACUUGAACUCAGAGUCACGUGUUCGUGGUUCGCAUUUCAGUCAGGUGAGGAAGGGAGCAGAGAGAAGGGGAGAGGAGAGUUUUGAAUGAAAAUAUAGACACACAUGGGGCUUGAUGGUCUGUUGCCCUGCACCUUACGUAAGUAAAACACUAGCAAAUCAGCCGGGCAGUGUUUCAUGCCAACUUUGCACUGACUGAACAAGGUGCAGGGCAAUGGGGAAAUCGGGCCCACCGUUUAUAGUAUAUACAGGGGCAUCUGCUUGUGCUAAACUAGUUUGGUCUGGAGGCCUCUUCCAUCCCUAUUACACAGCAGGGGGUAGUUUGAAAUCCCCUACAGACACCAAGUAUCGCUCAAGAGUUCACAGCUCCUGAAACUGUGUGAAGUUCACACAGAGAUCUGGAGAUCCUGGGGAAACCCUCAACUCUGUUCCUUCCUUUAAAAACAAAACAAAAAAAACCCCACACAACAAAAACACAAUUCUCAUGCAAGCUGAGGUUUGCAUCCAACCACAACACCUUUUGUUCCCCUUCUUUCCAGACAUCAUUACAGCCACUCCCCUCCCAUGCUCAGAGUACAGGAGAAAUUGCUCCUCUCCUAGUUGGGCAUCCUUUAACUUGGCCUUUCUCCUCCCUUAGAAGCACGCUCCAUCUGGUAGCAAUUUGCUCUUCACGUUGCAGGUGUUUCCAUUUGACACAUCCCUUGACCGUGUCUGUGAAUCACUCGGGUGGAUAGGAACCGUGCUACAUCUGCACAGCUGCACCGCUGGAACACAUCUGGUGACGACGAGCUGUGCUGACAGGAGAGCGCUCUCCCAUUGGCAUAAAUACUGCACCGCGGCAAGAAACGGAAGUUAUGUCGUCAGGAGAGCGUCUGUCGGUGUGGACAGCAUGAAACUUGCGUCGCUUGGGAGGGGGCUUUUUCACACACAGCCCCCCCAAGCGAGCGACAAGGUCCAGGAAAACUACCUGCAGAUGUGUGCCUGCUCUCGAGCCAGUUGGGGAAGUUACACCAUGAGAAUUCACCUUCCUGAAGCAAGCCAGUAACAUCAGCAGCAAGUAGAGACCGACGGGGGGAGCCUGACAGCACGGAGGGAUGCACGGCGAGAACUGCUCUCAGAGGGAAGAAUGGUUUGCACACGUUCAGGUUAACGAUACAAUCACAAGGGUCCAGAGGGACAGAGAAACAAUACAGGGAGGAAAGGAUCCUAUUAGAGACUUGGUGGUUGGUUGCAUUAAAAUACUGUCACGGCAGAGACCAUGUUACGGAUACUUGGAUAGGCACACACUUGCGUCCGUGUGUGGGGUGCAGCUAAAUGAAGCCUAUGGACUGGAACCAGCCAAUGUGUCAAAAUCCAGUUCCAACUGAGUAGGGCAGGGGAUGCUUAACAAGGGUUCUUAGAAUCCCUACCCCACCAGAAUCCCUACCCAGUGGUUGGGGCAGCCCUCGAAGUGUCGCAUUGUCUGCGCUCGCUCCCUGUGCCUGUGGACCCGAUUCUCCGCUGCACCACACCGGGCACAGUCAUUUACCCCAGUGCAAAGUGGGGUGCAAACAGCUACCAGAUCAGAACGGCAGCCUCUCACCACCACUUUGCACUGGUGUAACCUAUUGCAUAAGGCCCAGGGCAACGGAGAGGCAGGCUCUGGGUGUCUAGUCCUUGAUGAUUGACAAUAUUGUGCGAAACGGGUCAUUUUAAAAAGGAAAUAAUCCAGGUUAUAUUCUAGGAGGCUUGCGAGAGGGUGUUAAUAUUGACAGCCAACCACAGCACCGUGAGGCUGGACCAAAUUCAUGACCACUUUAGGGCUCCAUUAGGCCAUAUAUAGGCUGACCAGACAGCAAAUGUGAAA